rnacentral:rRNA from 1 species
GGGCCCGCACAAGCGGUGGAGUAUGUGGUUUAAUUCGAUGAUACGCGAGGAACCUUACCAGGGCUUAAAUGCAGAACGACAGACUAUGAAAAUAGUUUUUCUUCGGACGUUUUGCAAGGUGCUGCAUGGUUGUCGUCAGCUCGUGCCGUGAGGUGUUGGGUUAAGUCCCGCAACGAGCGCAACCCCUAUUCUUAGUUGCCAGCGAGUAAUGUCGGGGACUCUAAGGAAACUGCCCGCGCAAGCGUGGAGGAAGGUGGGGAUGACGUCAAAUCAUCACGGCCCUUACGUCCAGGGCCACACACGUGCUACAAUGGUAGGGACAGAGGGCAGCCACCUGGUGACAGGGAGCGAAUCCUAAAACCCUAUCUCAGUUCGGAUCGAAGUCUGCAACUCGACUUCGUGAAGCUGGAAUCGCUAGUAAUCGCGCAU